GACGAACGCUGGCGGCGUGCUUAACACAUGCCAGUCGAACGCUGAAGCUCAGCUUUUGUUGGGUGGAUGAGUGGCGAACGGGUGAGUAACACGUGAGUAACCUGCCUCCUUCUUUGGGAUAACGCCCGGAAACGGGUGCUAAUACUGGAUAUUCACUGGUCUUCGCAUGGGGGUUGGUGGAAAGGGUUUUUCUGGUGGGGGAUGGGCUCGCGGCCUAUCAGCUUGUUGGUGGGGUGAUGGCCUACCAAGGCUUUGACGGGUAGCCGGCCUGAGAGGGUGACCGGUCACAGUGGGACUGAGAUACGGCCCAGACUCGUACGGGAGGCAGCAGUGGGGAAUAUUGCACAAUGGGCGCAAGCCUGAUGCAGCGACGCCGCGUGAGGGAUGGAGGCCUUCGGGUUGUGAACCUCUUUCGCUCAUGGUCAAGCCGCAACAAUGGUUGUGGUGAGGGUAGUGGGUAAAGAAGCGCCGGCUAACUACGUG
rnacentral:rRNA from 1 species